rnacentral:lncRNA from 1 species
UAACAGGUUUUUUAGGAAAAGUUUCAAAUAUCACCCGCGUGGUUUCAUACUUUCUCACUUUAGUAUUCUAUAAUUUAAAGUGUAUCAAUUUAAUGUUCUAUGGUUUUAAUUAUAUUUUUUUAUUAGCGAUUUUAUUAAUUUUUUUUUGUUAAAUCAGUGACAAAGUUAAAACUAAAGGGUACUGAAGUGAAUAGUUGAUAAAUAAAUUUUUUUUAGAUUAACCUGUCACGUCAUUAUUAUAAAAAAAAUAUUUUUAUUAUAUAUUUUUUUUUUCAUAAAAAGUGAUUUAAUUAGUUUGUUAUUACUGAUGUGAUAUAAGUGUGAUAAGUAGGCUUUCUCGCUAUAGAGGGUGCACCAUUUGCAUGCAAUAAUUUCGCAUAAAUCUUCAGUGCAACGGUUACGUAUCACGGCCCACAAAAGAGGUGGGCCCCACGAAUAUCUUUUAAACUAUCACGGUUACACCGAGGAUCCCUUCCCAAUUGUAUCGCCCCAGCUGGCGCUAAUGCAUGUUCCUUUCCUCGAAUCCCUAACUGGGCCCCACCACCCUCACACUCUAAAAACAAAAAUAUUAUUUUUUUUAUGAAAAACUUCAAAUACCCCCCUGUGGUUUCAUUUUUUUCACUUUAGUAUCCUGUGAGUUAAAGUGUAUCAAGUUAGUACCCCGUGGUUUUACACUUUUUCACUUUAGUACCAUGUGGUUUAAAAUGUAUCAAGUUAGUACCCUGUGGUUUCGCAUUUUAUCAGUUUAGUACCCUAUGGUUUCACACUUUAUCACUUUAGUACCCUAUGGUUUAAAAACUGUAGGGUACUAACUUGAUACAAAAAUAAAACCACAUGGUACAAACUUGAUACAAAAAUAAAAUCACAGCGUACUAACUUGAUACACUUUAAACCACAGGGUACUAAAGUGAUAAAGUGAGAAACCACGGGAAACUAACUUGAUACACUUUAAAGCAUAGGAUACUAAAAUGAAAAAGUGCGGAAGUUUUUUUUUUUUUAUUCUAUUUAUAUAUUAUAGGAUUAAUUUCAUACAGAUUUCUGUAAAUAUAGUAAAUUAUAAAUAUAUUUUUACAUAGUUCGACUUUCAUAUGUUGUCGAUACAAAAGUUUUAAUAUUUUCAAAUAUGUCUCUGUCAUUAAGAUUCGUUGAAAAAAAUUAUUUAACUAUAGGUAAGAUACUUAACCCCAGUUAGUUAAUGAGAUAAAUUGACCUCUUUACCCCUCUUCAAUUAACCGUUGAAAUUUUUAAAGGAUAUAUUUGUGAAGACAAAAAGGGAUCAUUUCACUUAUAAAAUAAGUGUACUUUAACAGUAACAAAACAGAGGGAUAUAUUUGAAAAUAUUAAAAUUUUUGUAGGGACAACAUAUGAUAGUUAAACUUUAUAGGAAUAUAUUUACAAUUUACUGUAUUUAUAGGAAUUUGUAUGAAAUUAACUCUAUUGCAGGAUAUACUAAUUAUCAUUCAACAUAUAUUAGUCUUAUAAUAUAUAUUUGUAAAUUAAAUAUAUAUUCAUAAUAAGUNUAAUAUUUUCAAAUAUGUCUCUGUUAUUAGGAUUAACAGUAACAAAACAGAGGGAUAUAUUUGAAAAUAUUAAAAUUUUUGUAGGAACAACAUAUAAUAGUUAAACUUUAUAGGAAUAUACUUACAAUUCACUAUAUUUAUAGAAAUUUGUAUGAAAUUAACUCUAUUACAGGGUAUACUAAUUAUCAUUCAACAUAUAUUAGUCUUAUAAUAUAUAGUAAAUUAAAUAUAUAUUCAUAAUAAGUAUAUAAUGUAGUAUAUAUAUUUUAAUAUUGUAUAAAAUAAAAUACUAUAUAGAAAAAUAAAAUAUUAUCUUAUAUAAUAAUUUAGUAUAG